UACAGAGGUGGCAAGCGUUGUUCGGAAUUACUGGGCGUAAAGGGCGCGUAGGCGGCCAUCUAAGUCAGACGUGAAAUCCCCCGGCUUAACCUGGGAACUGCGUCUGAUACUGGAUGGCUUGAAUCCGGGAGAGGGAUGCAGAAUUCCAGGUGUAGCGGUGAAAUGCGUAGAUAUCUGGAGGAAUACCGGUGGCGAAGGCGGCAUCCUGGACCGGCAUUGACGCUGAGGAGCGAAAGCCAGGGGAGCAAACGGG
rnacentral:rRNA from 1 species